UACGUAGGGUGCGAGCGUUGUCCGGAAUUAUUGGGCGUAAAGAGCUUGUAGGCGGUUUGUCGCGUCUGCCGUGAAAAUCCGGGGCUCAACCCCGGACUUGCGGUUGAUACGGGCGGGCUAGAGUUCGGUAGGGGAGACUGGAAUUCCUGGUGUAGCGGUGAAAUGCGUAGAUAUCGUGAGGAAGACCAGUGGCGAAGGCGGGUCUCUGGACAGUUCCUGACACUGAGGCACGAAGGCCAGGGGAGCAAACGGG
rnacentral:rRNA from 1 species